ensembl:miRNA microRNA 107
UUCUCUUUGCUUUCAGCUUCUUUACAGUGUUGCCUUGUGGCAUGGAGAUCAAGCAGCAUUGUANNNGGCUAUCAAAGCACAGAGAGC